GUCUUUGGUCAUACCACCCUGAACGUGCCUGAUCUCAUCUAGUCUUGGGAGCUAAGCAGGGUCGGCCCUGUUCAGGACUUAGAUAAGAAUACCAGGAGCUGUAGGCU
rnacentral:rRNA from 1 species